UACGUAGGGGGCGAGCGUUGUCCGGAUUUAUUGGGCGUAAAGAGCGUGUAGGCGGCCAUACAGGUCAGCUGUGAAAACUCGAGGCUCAACCUCGAGACGUCGGUUGAAACCGUAUGGCUAGAGUCCGGAAGAGGAGAGUGGAAUUCCCGGUGUAGCGGUGAAAUGCGCAGAUAUCGGGAGGAACACCAGUGGCGAAGGCGGCUCUCUGGGCCCUACCUGACGCUGAGACGCGAAAGCGUGGGGAGCGAACCGG
rnacentral:rRNA from 1 species